ACAUGAAAAUUAGUAAGGUAAUAUGCAAGUGAGAUUAAUGGUAGUUUUAAUUGUUUAUGUGAAAUAGAAAUAAUAUAAAAUUGACGCAAAUGGGGUAAAGAAGAGAUAAACAACAAAGAAUUAAUGGUCCAAUGUCAAAAAAGAAAGUGUUUCAAGUAUUUCGAAACGGCCGAAAGAGGCAAGUGUUAUAAGUAUUCAAAAUCACAGGGAGUAUAAAGCAUUAAAGCACUUUAUUACCAUAUGAGUGUUGAUUUUCCCCCCCUCCAACUAGAAUAAUUCAUUUAUUUUAUGUAAGGUAAAAAUGGAAAUCAGUCAUCUCAAGAGUUGACGUAUAUAAUAAAGAUGACACGUCAUAUGCACUCAUCUACAUGGUUGUCACCUGAAAAAAUGAAGUAAAUAAGGAAUAUCUUACCUGUGAGUAAAUUUGUGUAAUAACGCCUUAUACUCAUAAGACCACUACUAUAAACAAGAAAAACAUACUAUUAAUUAUUAACUCAACAAUCAUACCAUUAACCUAAAACUAUAACUAUUAACGCAAGAAUCUAUAAAUAUGUUUAUAGAUAUGUAUAUAUUAGGAAAAAUUGAUAAUAUAAAUCCCACAUUUGGCCUGUUUGCUAAAAACAAUCUCAUUUUUAAUUAAUUUCGGAAUAACCCAAUUUAUUAUAACCACCUUCUAAAAACAUAUCACGUACUUUAAACUUUUACCUGCUAAAACAAGUAAAGGAGGUGAUGUGGCAGUAAGUGACCGUUGGGGGUGGAUAAAUAUCAAUAAAUAGGUUUUUUCCCCUUUUAAUCCUCCUCCUUCCUUUCUUUUGUUCUUCCCUGCUCUUUCCUGUCUUCUCUGAUCUUCUUUGUUCUUCCUCAUUAUUCAUCCUCUCAUCAUUCUCUUCUUUACUUUCUAAUUCGUAAUGAUCCAUGGCCAAUACGUGGUAUAAAAUUGUCGGGCACUUCAUGUAAUUCAAAAUUAAGGGGCAAACAAUCAUUGAUAAAUUUGUUAUUGUAACGAUGUAGUUGUUAUGCGAACGACUAAGAAUGGGGUGAAUGCGGGAAAGAAGUUCUACGAAUGUUCCAAUUGGCCAGUGAUGGAUCAUGGUGUUGUUAAUUGGCCCCAAUUAUUUGACAAUUUUCAAUUGAAAAUUCUGGAGAAAGACACAGAGAUUGCUGAGUUGGAAAUGAAGAAUAGAUUUUUGUAGGAGAAAGUAUAGAAAUUUCAAUUAAAAAGGAAAAUGUCGAAGAAGAAAACCUGGCCGAUGAUGUCAAAUUACUUAAAUUUAAAAUAAAUUAGGCUUAUAUGGUUGUAAAUUACCUUAAUUUGAUGGUUAUUGUACUCUCUAUUGAAGACCUUUCCUUUUUCCGCAAACUCGUUGGCGAUGAGCUCACCUUUUGCGGCUUUGAAAGACGACCAUUAAUGGAAAACACAAUAAGUGCAGAGAGAGAGAGAGAGAGAGAGAGAGAGAGAGAGAGAGAGAGAGAGAGAGAGAGAGAGAGAGAGAGAGAGAGAGAGAGAGAGAGAGAGGAGUUAGCCAUUUUUUUUAAAAUAAAAUAAAGUAAAGAACUGAGGGUAGUGGUUAGUGGCGAUAGGUUUUUUGGGAGGGAAAUAAAGUUACCCAGUCGUGUUGACCGUUUUAACAAGUAGCAGGUAAAGUGGUCUAUUUUUUUAAAACAAAAUAUGGGUAUGAUAAGUUAGGCUAUUCUGGAAUUAAUUAAAAAUUGGAUUGUUUUUAGGAGACCGACCAAAGGUGGAACUUAUUUUAUCAACUUUUUCUAUGUAUUAACAUAAUUUGUUAUUAAAAAUGAUAACUAACUAAUUUUUUCACCUUAUUUCCACUUAUUUUAGGAAAAGUAAGUUCAGAUAAGAUAAGUUCAUGAUAAAUAAGGGACACUGUUAGGGGGAGAAAUACCCUCUUGAAUGACGUGGCCAGACAUGCCAAGUGGAGCAUACGUGGCUGCCAGCGAGGCGUGACAAAGCAUCCAUCCGUCUUGCUCCCAACGGCUAUGGAAGAGGCAGCGGUUACAAACCGUUCCUAAGCAAGCCGUUAAUACCUAUUUAUUGCCCAAUUAUGUACAUUUAUGAUUGAACGUUACAUUCUAUCAUGUAAUGCCUAUAAAAUGGCUUAGCUAGGUUAUUUUACAUAUAUGAAAUACUGAAUAAACAUAAUACUCUCAUUCUAUGCUCUUA